AGUUUGAUCCUGGCUCAGAGUGAACGCUGGCGGCAGGCCUAAUACAUGCAAGUCGAACGGCAGCACAGCAGAGCUUGCUCUGUGGGUGGCGAGUGGCGGACGGGUGAGGAAUACAUGGGAAUCUGCCCAGUCGUGGGGAUAACGUAGGGAAACUUACGCUAAUACCGCAUGCACCCUUCGGGGGAAAGCCGGGGACCUUCGGGCCUGGCGCGAUUGGAUGAGCCCAUGUCGGAUUAGCUAGUUGGCGGGGUAAUGGCCCACCAAGGCGACGAUCCGUAGCUGGUCUGAGAGGAUGAUCAGCCACACUGGAACUGAGACACGGUCCAGACUCCUACGGGAGGCAGCAGUAGGGAAUAUUGGACAAUGGGCGCAAGCCUGAUCCAGCCAUGCCGCGUGAGUGAAGAAGGCCCUCGGGUUGUAAAGCUCUUUUGUCCGGAAAGAAAAGCGCCGGGUUAAUACCCUGGUGUCCUGACGGUACCGGAAGAAUAAGCACCGGCUAACUUCGUG
rnacentral:rRNA from 1 species